rnacentral:rRNA from 1 species
AAUCUUCCGCAAUGGGCGAAAGCCUGACGGAUCAACGCCGCGUGAGUGAUGAAGGGCUUCGGCUCGUAAAACUCUGUUAUUAGGGAAGAACAAAUGAGUAAGUAACUGUGCACAUCUUGACGGUACCUAAACAGAAAGCCACGGCCAACUCCGUGACAGCAGCCGCGGUAAUACGUAGGUGGCAAGCGUUAUCCGGAAUUAUUGGGCGUAAAGCGCGCGUAGGCGGUUUCUUAAGUCUGAUGUGAAAGCCCACGGCUCAACCGUGGGGGGUCAUUGGAAACUGGGAAACUUGAGUGCAGAAGAGGAAAGUGGAAUUCCAUGUGUAGCGGUGAAAUGCGCAGAGAUAUGGAGGAACACCAGUGGAGAAGGCGACUUUCUGGUCUGUAACUGACGCUGAUGUGCGAAAGCGUGGGGAUCAAACA